UUCCUUAAAUUCAGGGUCCUGCUCACAUGGGAAAUACUUUCUGAGACUCACGGACCUCCUGCACAAGAACAUGAAACACCUGUGGUUCUUCCUCCUGCUGGUGGCAGCUCCCAGAGGGGUCCUGUCCCAGGUGCAGCUGCAGGAGUCGGGCCCAGGACUGGUGAAGCCUUCACAGACCCUGUCCCUCACCUGCGCUGUCUCUGGUGGCUCCAUCACCAGUGGUUAUUACUACUGGAGCUGGAUCCGCCAGCCCCCAGGGAAGGGACUGGAGUGGAUUGGGGGUAUCUAUACCAGUGGGAGCACCUACUACAACCCAUCCCUCAAGAGUCGAGUCACCAUAUCAGUAGACACGUCCAAGAACCAGUUCUCCCUGAAGCUGAGCUCUGUGACCGCCGCGGACACGGCCGUGUAUUACUGUGCGAGAGGCACGGUGAGGGGAGAGAAGAGGCCAUGUGGAGACAUAGUGGACUAGAAGAUGCAAGCCAAGAAGAAGCCGCACCAAGAACCAACCCUGCCAGCACCUGGACCUUGGACAUUCAGACUUCAGAAUGGUGAGAAAAUCAAUG